UUACAUUUCUAAUUUGAAUUUACGUCUUUACCGUCUUUUGUAACGUGCUUUUACGCGACGUCCAAACAUUGACGUCGACGUCAUCAUUUUCUGUUGUUAUUGUUUUGAACGUCGCUUCUGUUAGCGCAAACAUAUAUUUCAAUUCAGGAACUUGAUGUAAAACUUGGUAAAGAUUAAAAAUCGAGAAUCGCUACGCUAGAGAAUAAAAUUGUAAAGUGAAUCAGCGCAUACUCGUUUUUUACUGUGGUAUCCAAGUUCCCGAACACUUGCGAUUUAGCUCGGUAUACUCUUUAGUCAGAUCAAAGUGAAAUGAAAAUAAGAUACCACGAGAACGCCGAAAAAUGGAGACAAUGUCUUUGCUCUUUGGCCUGCUUCUGGAAGGGCAUUACAGAUAAAAUACUUUGACCAAGAAAGUCAGUGAUUUGAAUUUUACCAUAAACCCUCUCAUGGGAGACGCAAACAAUAUUAACAUAUUGCCUGAGUAUUUUGACAGAGAUAUUUCUAUUACUAUACAUGAACCAGUUUUCCACUGUGUGCCACAAGAACCAUAUGAACUCGAGUCAGAUUACUGUUAUCACUAUUUUGAAAAGUCAGAUCCUAAUCCAAACAAAAAACUUUAAAACUUGAUUUGAAAAAUGUAUACCAGAAACUUGUUGUCUUACAACCAUAAAAAUGGAAUAAUUUAAACAGUUGAUUUACGGGAACGAGCACUUUUUCCUGACACCUCCACAAGGCCGGAUUAAAUUUACCACGAUAAUGUCGUGAAAGACCAAAUGAAUUGACAUUCAGACAAUAUAAAUCCUUUGAAACAAUGAUAUGUUAAAGAUGAACUGAAGUAUUUGAUGGACAAUGAUUUCAUUGAAACAAGUCAUUACAGUUUUCCGUGUAAACUUGCAUCACAACCGAAUGGUACAGACCGAAUGAGCACAAAUUAUCGCAAAUUUAAAUUUUUCCAAUGGCAAGUACUGAAAGCUAAAUUAACAGGAUUUGAGACGAAUUUUGAUCUUCUAAAAGUAUUCUGACAACCUCCACAUGCUGAUAAAGCGAAAGAUAUAGCGAAGAUCAGUAAAAAAUCUCAGCGGCUUUUAUGUAUGGUGAUAUCUGAUUUAGAUGGCUGAGACACAUACAUUAACGAUGCCAUUAUAUACUAUUAUGUAUGGAAUGACAAUCUUUAGAUAAUCAGUGACGGGAAGUUGAUUAUCAGUCUUGCAAAACGUGAGUUUUUGUUAACGUUUCUAAGUCAUGUUGUUGGCAAGGGUGAAAUUAAAGCUAAUGUCAAAACUAUCUCUUAAUUUCCUUCGCCUAUAUGUAAAAGGAAACUGAUUCCAUUUCUUGGUAUGGCUGGGUAUUAUCGAAAACUUUGCAAUUGCAGAACUGUUGACAAGCUUGCGUGAGACACGACACAAACUCAUUUGGAAUGACAUAUGUCAAAAAGCGUUUUAUAAAGCUAUGCACUAGUUCUUUUUUAAUUAGAUUUAGACAAUGUAUUUAUGUUGGCUGUAGAUGCUAGUUUUAUAUGUGUGGAUAACAACAGAGUUGACCAUCAAGUGUGUUACUUUUCUGAAAAGUUUAACGAACGCCCGAGAAAUUAUUCUUUUACAGAAAAAAGACUUUUCAUAUUCAGCAAUAGUUUUUUCGGUGAUCAAAAUCCUCUCGGUGUCUUGCAAACAACUUACAAAACCAAAGAUGUAGAGAUAGUUGAUGCAAUAAUAGAAGCUUGAUAUAAGAUGCAUAAAAGGGAAGGCAACUUGAUUUACGAAUCACAUCCACGUGUUUAAAUUUAUUUAUUGAUUACUCAUAAGCAUUAAAUAUUUGAUGUCGGAUGAUUGUUUUUGUUCAAUAUGAUAUGACAUGUAUGUGCCUGGAACUUUGUGUACUUUGAAUUUUAUUGUAAAAUCUAUGCUUUAUGCAUCAGUUUUGUCAAAAGAUAAUUCAAUUGAUGAUUUAGUUGCUUUCAUUGUGUGUUUCCCCAUUAAUUUUGAGUACUUAUAUGCCUAUGAAUAUAAAGAACGUUCUAGAAAUUACUGUUUGUUCUAUGCAUAUAACCUUACGGAUAAUUCUAGUUACUCUUGUUCUAAAUACGGUAGUUCAUAUAGUUAUUUAAAAAAAGUCUAGAAAGAUGGACGGUGCAGUCAUGCACGGACGUUUUCUAGAAAUAAACUAAGUUUUUAUAUAAAGAGACACUUAU